rnacentral:rRNA from 1 species
CAUGUAGGCGGUUUUGUAAGUCAGAUGUGAAAUCCCAUGACUCAACCAUGGAACUGCAUCUGAAACUAUAAGACUAGAGUUUAGGAGAGGGAAGAGGAAUUCUCGGUGUAAGGGUGAAAUCUGUGGAUAUCGAGAGGAACACCAAUGGCGUAGGCAUCUUCCUGGACUAAAACUGACGCUGAGGUGCGAAAGCUAGGGGAGCGAACA